CCUACGGGUGGCAGCAGUGAGGAAUAUUGGUCAAUGGGCGCGAGCCUGAACCAGCCAAGUCGCGUGAAGGAUGACUGCCCUACGGGUUGUAAACUUCUUUUAUAAAGGAAUAAAGUGCGGCACGUGUGCCUUUUUGUAUGUACUUUAUGAAUAAGGAUCGGCUAACUCCGUGCCAGCCUACGCGGUAAUACGGAGGAUCCGAGCGUUAUCCGGAUUUAUUGGGUUUAAAGGGAGCGUAGAUGGGUUGUUAAGUCAGUUGUGAAAGUUUGGGGCUCAACCGUAAAAUUGCAAUUGAUACUGGAAGUCUUGAGUACAGUAGAGGUAGGCGGAAUUCGUGGUGUAGCGGUGAAAUGCGUAGAUAUCACGAAGAACUCCGAUUGCGAAGGCAGCUUACUAAACUGAGACUGACAUUGAUGCGCGAAAGUGUGGGUAUCAAACAGGAUUAGAUACCCCAGUAGUC
rnacentral:rRNA from 1 species